CUAACAAGGAUUCCCCUAGUAACGGCGAGUGAAGCGGGAAGAGCUCAAGCUUAAAAUCUCCGUGCAAGUUUUGCGCGGCGAAUUGUAGUCUAUAGAGGCGUGGUCAGCGUGGGCGCUUGGGGCAAGUUCCUUGGAAGAGGACAGCAUGGAGGGUGAUACUCCCGUUCAUCCCUGAGUGGCUCGUGCGUACGACCCGUGUUCUUUGAGUCGCGUUGUUUGGGAAUGCAGCGCAAAGUAGGUGGUAAAUUCCAUCUAAAGCUAAAUAUUGGUGCGAGACCGAUAGCGAACAAGUACCGUGAGGGAAAGAUGAAAAGAACUUUGAAAAGAGAGUUAAAGAGUACCUGAAACUGCUGAAAGGGAACCGAAUCGUUUCCAGUGUCUAUAAUCCGUGGCAUAUUUCAUUGGCGAGUGUGCGCGUGCGUGUGCUGUGGCAGUGGCUUUUUUGGCUGCGCUCGGUGCGUGUGCUGUGUGUGCUUGCUGGUGCCCUGUGCUGCGGUGGGACGUCAAGGUCAGUUCGUAUGCUGCGGGAAAUGGCUGCCGAGGAGGUAGGGCUUACGCUCCGCGUUUGUCUGUUAUAUCUUGGUGGACGAGUCGUCGUGGUUGGGACUGAGGUGCCUACAACGUGCUUUUGAGUGGGUUCGUGUCUCCGUGUGMGCCGUGUGCGGAUAGCUUGCUAUGCGUGUGUGGUUGUGCGUGGAUUGGUGCGGACUUUAACUUGUCGCCGUUCGGGACGUUGACGAAAUGGAGCGAUCCGACCCGUCUUGAAACACGGACCAAGGAGUCUAACAUGUGUGCAAGUGUUAGGGUGUGGAAACCCCAGCGCGAAAUGAAAGUGAAGGGCAGCGCAAGUUGUCUGAGGUAGGAAACGUUGCGGGCUUCGGUCUGCGGCGUGGCACUAUCGACCGAUCAUGAACCUUCGUGGUGAAAGAUUUGAGUUUGAGCACAUAUGUUGGUACCCGAAAGAUGGUGAACUAUGCCUGAGUAGGGUGAAGCCAGGGGAAACUCUGGUGGAAGCUCGUAGCGAUUCUGACGUGCAAAUCGAUCGUCAAACUUGGGUAUAGGGGCGAAAGACUAAUCGAACCAUCUAGUAGCUGGUUCCCUCCGAAAUUUCCCUCAGGAUAGCAGCAACUUAUUUACGAUAGUUUUAUGAGGUAAAGCGAAUGAUUAGAGGAUUCGGGGAAGAAACUUCCUCGACCUAUUCUCAAACUUUAAAUCUGUAAGACCUGCAGGUUUCUUAAUUGAACUUGUGGAUGUGAAUAUCAA
rnacentral:rRNA from 1 species